AUUCAUUCAUAAAACACAUUUUUAAUAGAGUCUAGUAUUUAAUUUCUAAAGAGUUUGCAGGUUCAACUUUACUCUGAAAAUAUCAGUGUUUACUGUCCUCCUGUUGUGACCUUUAUUUUGAAAAGCUGUUAACGUGACAGCAUAAACCUGCAGAUUUAACAGAGGAUGUCAUUAAGGAUGUUACCUGGACUCACCUGAUUGGUGGAAAAGUGUCCUGCAGAGACUCCCAGGUGUGUGUGUGUGUGUGUGUGUGUGUGUGUGUGUGUGUGUGUUUGUGUGUGUUUGUGUGUAUUUGUGUUAAAAGUGAGGACACAGACACACAAUCAGGACCCGACAAAGACCUUCCUCUUGACUCUGCGAUGAACAAAAAGCCCGCUGUUCGACAAAGGACAGAGAUAAAGGGGUUAAGAGCUCCAGGUGUGUGUGUGUGUGUGUGUGUGUGUGUGUGUGUGUGUGUGUGUGUGUGGACUCUGUGGGCACCCUGGGUCUCCAUCAGUGUCUGGCUGAUUGAUUGGGACGUCAGCCAAGAUAAAAGAUCCCGUCCUCACAGCACGGCCGCGCAACGCCCCGGGGAGAGGCACAUGCUAACACACACACACACACACACACACACAGGCAUGCACUUGGUUACCUGGACUGAAUACAGAUCUGGGACUAGAUUUCUCUGCAGGACUCAGACCUGCGUUUCAGUGUUUUAUCAGAUUUUUCGCUCUAACUGGUCAGCUGAUUCAUUACGACCACCUGAGGUCAGGAGGAUUGGCGUUUCCAGGACAACCUGACCUCCUCAGUCUCAGUCCUUUUUAUUUAUGUUUCAAUCUAAAAAAAAAAGCUCUACCUUAUAGUUCAUGACGCCACAACAAAUGCACUGAUGUAGACCUACGUCAAGGGUCUCCGUGCUGAUCUGUGGUCGCAGUGAAAAUGAUUCACGUGAGUUUAGAUUUUUCAACUUUUGCAAAUAAGUGAAUAAAGCGAGUUGUUUGUAGAACAUGUCGUGAUUAACUUUUCUGAAUGAACAUCACAGACUUGGUUUAAACACAAAUAUUCAUGAAGAGGCGGACUUCGAGACGUCUUCAGACAGUUUGUUUUAAAACUUUUCAAAACAUGGUCUUAACAUGAAAUCAGGAUCUGCUGUUCGACUCGGACACGCCCACCUGGUAACAUUCCUAAAGACACGCCCACCUGGUAAUGUUCAUGAAGACACGCCCACCUGUUAGCUCUCCUAAAGACACGCCCACCUGGUAGCUCUCCUAAAGACACGCCCACCUGGUAACAUUCCUAAAGACACGCCCACCUGAUAAUGUUCAUGAAGACACGCCCACCUGGUAGCUCUCCUAAAGACACGCCCACUCAGUAAACUCUUUCCUUGUCUCUGAAGGUUUCUCAGGUAUGAUUUCACUCGACAGGUGAAGUUUUAACCCUUUAAUGUCUUUUGUAUCAUAUUUGAUACUUUUAUAAACUUUUAUCAAAUCAAUACGAUCAACAAAUUAUUAAAAAUCACCUGAAUACAGAUAAAUGAUAAAAAUGUCCUCCUG